UCGAACGAGAAAGUGGAGCAUCCAUGAGUACAGUGGCGUACGGGUGAGUAACACGUGGGUAAUCUACCUCUUAGUGUGGAAUAACUCUGGGAAACUAGAGCUAAUACCGCAUAAGCUCGAGAGAGGAAAGCAGCAAUGCGCUGAGAGAGGAGCCCGCGGCCGAUUAGCUAGUUGGCAGGGUAAAAGCCUACCAAGGCAUAGAUCGGUAGCCGGCCUGAGAGGGCACACGGCCACACUGGCACUGAAACACGGGCCAGACUCCUACGGGAGGCAGCAGUGGGGAAUCUUGCACAAUGGGGGAAACCCUGAUGCAGCGACGCCGCGUGAGCGAUGAAGCCCUUCGGGGUGUAAAGCUCUUUCGGCAGGGAAGAUAGUGACGGUACCUGCAGAAGCAGCUGCGGCUAACUACGUGCCAGCAGCCGCGGUAAUACGUAGGCAGCGAGCGUUGUUCGGAGUUACUGGGCGUAAAGGGUGUGUAGGCGGUUGUUUAAGUUUGGUGUGAAAUCUCCCGGCUCAACUGGGAGGGUGCGCCGAAUACUGAAUGACUAGAGUACGGGAGAGGAAAGUGGAAUUCCUGGUGUAGCGGUGAAAUGCGUAGAUAUCAGGAGGAACACCGGUGGGUGUAGACGGCUUUCUGGACCGUAACUGACGCUGAGACACGAAAGCGUGGGUAGCAAACAGGAUUAGAUACCCUGGUAGUCCACGCCCUANACAUGCAUAUUUGGUGUGGGCAGUUCAUUCUGUCCGUGCCGGAGCUAACGCGUUAAUAUGCCGCCUGGGGAGUACAGUCGCAAGGCUGAAACUCA
rnacentral:rRNA from 1 species